CCACAGGAUAAGCAUAGCCUAGCUCCCAAGCUACAUAUAGCUUGACAUGUAACGUACCCAUGGUAGCUUACAUGCCAAGGAGUUUGGUAUGUAAGCUACCCGCUGUAGCUUACAUACCAAGCUGCACAUACAUACAAAGGGAUUCAUGCCCACCAUGUAUGGGCUCUUUUUGAGCUGCCCUCGGACUCCCUUACACACACACUCAGAC
rnacentral:lncRNA from 1 species